CAUGCACUUGGGGUGGGGGGGUCCCUCAGCCAGGAUUGCAAGAGGAUGUAGGCCAGGCUGAGGGACUCCACCAGUGCAGGAUU
rnacentral:pre_miRNA from 1 species